GACGAACGCUGGCGGCGUGCUUAACACAUGCAAGUCGAACGGAAAGGCCCUGCUUUUGUGGGGUGCUCGAGUGGCGAACGGGUGAGUAACACGUGAGUAACCUGCCCUUGACUUUGGGAUAACUUCAGGAAACUGGGGCUAAUACCGGAUAGGAGCUCCUGCUGCAUGGUGGGGGUUGGAAAGUUUCGGCGGUUGGGGAUGGACUCGCGGCUUAUCAGCUUGUUGGUGGGGUAGUGGCUUACCAAGGCUUUGACGGGUAGCCGGCCUGAGAGGGUGACCGGCCACAUUGGGACUGAGAUAAGGCCCCGACUCCUACGGGAGGCAGCAGUGGGGAAUAUUGCACAAUGGGCGGAAGCCUGAUGCAGCAACGCCGCGUGCGGGAUGACGGCCUUCGGGUUGUAAACCGCUUUCGCCUGUGACGAAGCGUGAGUGACGGUAAUGGGUAAAGAAGCACCGGCUAACUACGUG
rnacentral:rRNA from 1 species